CGGGCGAAACUCCGUAAGCCGCCAUGCAAAAACUGUUACUAGUUUGUGUCCAAUUUUUUUUUCACAAUUAAUCGAACUGGCAACUUCGGACGUUAGCCAACUCUAAAGUGGACCUAUUGUAAAGCGUAAAAUGGAAAACCAACGCCAAAUUCCAGAUGUCUUGAAAAUAUGCAGCAUGGCACCACCUACUUUGAAACCCAACUGGAACCGCUCGCCAAAAAAAUUUUGAAGUCUGGCUUAUUUUGUCGGGCUUGUCUUGACGGAAUUUCCGCUAGAUGGCGAUACAAUACUUUUCAAAAAUAAUGGGCAAAAUUGAGGUAGUCAAAUAGUUCGUCUGCUUCGGAAAUAGUUUAUCUGCUUCAGGAGUGCGGAAGCACGUAAGUUUCUAAUUUUUAAAAGAAAAUUCGGUUUUUAUAAUAUAAAAUCUCAGUUAAAAAGUAAAAUCCAAUGUUUUUUCUACCGAUUCGGGUAGAAUAACAAGGGACAAGUCAAGUGUUUGACCAUUAUGAUCUUGUGAUUCAUAAUUCUAAAGGCCUUACUUUUAUAUUGUCUAAUGUUUAACAAUGUUGGUAGUGAAACAAAACUUUGUUGUGGCUUUAUGAGGAACCAAGAUCCCUUUCCCAAAGAGAAAGAGACUUAACUUGACACAAACAUAUCUACUUAACACAUUGUGUUCUC